rnacentral:tRNA from 1 species
GUCCCGUUCGUCCACGCGGUUAGGAUACUUGGUUCUCAACCAGGAGAAGGUGGGUUCGAGCCCCCCACGGGAUA